ACUAUUCCUGCUUCUCAGUAUGGGGAGGAUAAAGGCUGGUAGCCACGUCUGGGGGAUUUGAGCACUUCUCAGGGCACCUUUUUUAUUGUAUACUUUGAUUAUAUCUCAAAUAGAAGAUUUUCUGAACUGAGGGCUUUUAAAGUUUUUAUUUUAUGAGAUACCUUUCAAAGUACUUUUCUGUCAGUGUAAAAAUAAAGCAGAUCUUGUGUGAAGUUGCAAUAUAUAAACAGGGUGCUUGGCUUGUUGAUAAACUUUGCUCAUUCAACAAAGAAUUUCCAAACAGAAGCAGCUACUUCAACUGGCAGCAGCCUCAGAAGACUAAAUAGCCCAGGUUUACCCAGAGAAAUUCUCUUCAUCUUAAACAAAAAAGCCUCAGUGUUUUCUGUAUUGACUCUACAAUGAAAUUCAGAAACUAUAAACUUGGAUGAGACGCUGAGCAAGUGGAUCCAGUGGGAGAUGUCCCUGCCCGUGGCAGGGGGUUGGAACUGGAUGGGCUUUAAGGUCACUUCUGACCCAAACCAUUCUAUGAACUUGAGCUGGGAGUUUUCAGCUGUGCUUACUCUGCAGUCUUAACAAUGACGAUCCCAAAACUGAUUUAGGUUUAUGAUGUCUUUCUCAAAGCCGCUGGGUUGUUCUGUCUGCACUCAUCAAAAUUCAGGAAAGACUGACGACAGGUAAGAGUUACUGACAGCAGAUGCGUGCAGGAGCCUGGUUCCUCAGGGAAGUUCAGCAAACGUAUCUUCACCUACCUAAAUAUUAUGGACCUGGAAGGCUGUACUCUCUUGGCUUUUCUCAUCUCUUUAUAUUUCUUCAGGUAUUACAGUGCAUUUUGUGGUGUUUACAAGACAGACACAGAACAAGUGCACUUGCCCAAACUCCAGUGAGAAGAUCCAGCCAUCGGACUUCAUGGAUUCUUCUGAUAAAGGCAAGCUUUUUUUCUCCAUAUUUCUGUCAAGACGAAGAUUUUUGCCAAUGCGAUUGACGGCAUUACCAGACAGUAUUAGACAAAAAUAGCUAGAUCUAACUUUGCCUGGUAAGACAGCAAUCAGCAGGCACUUGGGCUAAAGAAAACGACCAGAAUUAAAGGACUUUCUCCAGAUCCAGACUAAAAAGAUAGGGCGGAGAGAGGCUAAGGACCUCUCCCUUAGACAAAGCAAUAACCAGUAAAUAUUUAACUUGAAAUUCUUGCUGAUUAUGAGGCAGAUACAAUUAUGAAAACACAACUCUUUCCAGUUCACUGGUACGUGGGUUUAAAAGAAUGGUAAAGAACUUAACUCACCAACACACAGCUCUGCCCACUGCCUCCGCUGUGCUGUGAAAUGCUCACCACGGCUGCGUUUGGUGCCGCUCCCCCACCAGCAGCACAGCCACACUGUGGAUGCACAUCUCGCCUGCGCUCUAAAGACUGUACCCUCAUCGGUAUGAAACCCCCUCGCAGCGAGACAACUUCUGCUGAAUUAAAUCUGGUGCAGACCAGGCCUCGGAGGGCGCUUACGCCACCCUGCAUCCUUCAGCCUGUGGAAUUGCUCUCCUGCUCAACUGAUUUGAGAAAGAGGAAAAUCAGUAGGAGAAGGGGAGGAGAGAAAGGUGUUGAGGCGGGAGGGGAUUUUCCUGGGUUGCCCUUAGCUCUCAUGACUGUCUCUGAGAUGAGAUCAAAUGGACACUUUCCCAAGCACACAUCAUCACGGGGGAGAGUGGGGGAUUUCCUGGGUGUCCGUUUCAGGGUUUUUUUAAGGCAACAUUCCUGUGCCUGCCAUGGAUCCUCAAUUAGAGUUAUCUAGAGGUUGUUUUUUUCUUUUCUAUUUACUCACCUCUAUCUGAGAUUAGCACCCAUACUUUGUUUUAAGAGAAGAUGGAUGGGUGGUAAGUGUGCGCUCCAAUUCAUCUUAAAGGCUUGUUAAAAGCCAAUUUGCAGAGUCACUCAGAUUUCACACCAUUUCCUCAAUCCUUGUGAACGAGUUACUUAUUAACAUAGAGGCUAAUCAGCAAAGAACGCUUCCCUGCUUCUUCCUUCUCUCUCUUGGUUUCCUGAGAAUUACAACCUACAAGGGCAGACAGAAAAUGGUUCCAAUUCAAGUCAACCAGUGGAGUUAGAGCAGGCACAGCCGGCUCCUUCCAAGCUGGACACAUUGCAAUGGCAACAACCUGAAAUUAUAAACCAACUGGUUCAUUUUUUCCUGUUGUUUCUGUAUUAUCUAGUAGUUUUGGCAAGGAGUCAUAUGCCAAGGGUUGAAAAAAAAACAUUCAGAGGUUUUCAGUGGCAAAGACAGAGGAUGCAGAAUCUGCUACCGUACCUCUAUGUUACUCCACCAGUCUGUUUUGGAGCGAGGGAGGGGAUUAACAUGAAGUUGAGGAUAAGGAAAAUAUUUUGGUGCUGUGAUUCAAACACAAAUCAAUACUUGGACUCCAUUUAAAGAUCUUGUGUGAAACAUCGUAUAUUUCUCACAGAAAGGAGGUGACAACCAAGGGGUACAACACUGAAGAGCCAGAAGAAAUCAUAUGCACCGUUCCUCCUCAAGUUAGAUCCCCAAGAGCAUUAAAGUUCUAUGAUUUCUCAGAAGCGCAGGCAGUAUGAAUGCUCCUUAUGUAAGGAUGAAUCUCAUCUUGUAUAGUGGACUGUUCUGAUAUGAAUUCUUAUCCCCUACAGAAGGACCAGGUUGUCUGCAAAAUACUGACUGGAUUAAUCUGUCGAGGUCUCAAAGACUCGCAGGGUAAGCAAAGACCGUGAAUCUGUACAUGCAGUUCAGACAGGAGGCAUUAAAUGUCACUAGAGGAGGGCAGGACGUGCACUGAAUUUAGUCUGCAAAGAUGCACUUUGUUUUAGAUGUGAGCAAUCCCAGUAUCUGCUUGUAGAAUCAAUUCUUUGAUGCAGCAAGCGAUAUCACCGCUCGUAGCGCUGAAGCUUGUAAUUUUUACUAAAGCAGAUGGAGUGGACUACCUGGCUCAAAUAUGAUGUCACUAAGGUAAGACUCUUUCUGUAAGAGGUUGCCUCGAGCAUUUGCUCCUCUGCCACCCCAGGAAACUUAUUUAAAGCUGACCUCUGUCAUAUGAGAGAAGUACUUCUUUCCUUCCCAGGUUCUAAUCAAAAUGUUAUCAGUUCUCAUACUCGAUGCGGUGGUGGACUUACUUCUACACGAGUUGCUACACAGCUAGAAUGAACUCUUGUGGGAUGGUAGCUCUUUGUGUGCUUGUGAGCAGGGUAAGCAUUCCAUGGUAGUUCCUUGACUGGGUUAAAUUCCUUUGUUUCUUAAUGGAAUGAUUAGAGUGAUUAACCUACCUGUUCUAUAAGCUGAAAGCACAGCCUAUAACAGGGCAGGUUAUGAGGUUGAAAGUUCAAAGGCUGUUCAACCAUGGAGGUGUAAUUGAACUGUAAUUGGGAAGAAUGACCUUUACAAGCAGUAUCCUUCCCUAACCACCUCUCACAGCCAAGCACGGUAACCGACAAGCAAAUGUUUCAGCCUCCUGGACAAGACGUGCCAUGCAAAUACAUCACAGCUUUAACCACUGGUUGGAGAGAAGGGAGCAUUACUGUGCUUUUGAGGUGACAUGAGUAUUGCCUGAUAAAGCUGAUGUGUGCUGUCUCACCUUCUUCACAGCAACAUCAAGGUUCAGUAGCACCUAACAGAGCAGCGUCCAACAUCUUUUUAGGAAGUAUUUAUGAUUAUAGCCAUUUAUUGUACGUAAAAAAUACUUGUUAAUAUGAUAGCCAACGUCCUUACCCUCUUGUCCAAAUUGUUCCACUUUGGCCUAAAUUGUGGUACAGUGUCUUUCUGUGAGAGCUCCUCCAGAGGCAUGUUGUUGUUUGGUUCACCCUUUAAACAUCGUUACCAGACAGUGUUAGAGUAGAUCCAGAAAAUCCAGCACUGUCUAGUAAGAUGCCCACAGAGGACCAGAGUCUGUCCAGCAGUUGGAGAAAUGAAGCAUCUAUUAAUGAUUCCACAUUCUUCAGGAUGUCAGUGUCCCAUAAAAACUAACAGAAAUGGCUCGAGACAGAUUGUCUGAUGUCACUGGAUAUGUAGAUAAGGUGAUGGUUGAUAUUAAAGGAUAGCUUGAAAAUCAGGGUGAAUUUCAGGAAACAAAUAUAGCAUUAAAAAUGGUUUAAUAAUGAUCUAAAAUAGAAAACAUAAUGUUAAAUUCUACUUCAACAUGAUGUAAAAUCAGUAAGAUUUUUCAUGUUUUCUAUCUUGGCUUCCUCACUCCCUGGGAUUCACAAAAACACCAACAGAUUCAAGUCUUUCCAAGCAAUUAAAAAGACAUUGGAGAGUGGGGAUGUAGAGAAAACAGCAUUACACACAAAAAACUGACAAAGAUGGCCUAACAUUUAACACAAUUAUUUGCUUUUACAAGAAAUACUUUAUUGUACUGACUUUAGUUUAAGGGCUAUAGACAAAUGUAAGUCAAAUAAUAAGUGGCAGCGACAGGACGCUUGUGUGCAUAGUUGUUAGACAGUAACGUCAUAAAGCAUAGCAAUAAAGGUAAUAAAGGUAUCUGUGUGCUUUGUUUUCUUUUUAUCAGGAGAAGGGGAAGUUUGCACAUUGUGCAGCAAGGAAGGUAAAAAUCCAACACACGCUUCUCCACGAGCAUUUCCCAAGCUCUGGAGCAACCAGAUUUGCUCACCACAAAGAAACUCAGCAUUGACAUUUAACACCCUUGAAAAGAAAAGACCCAACAAAAAAACCUUCAGGUGCAUUCUGAAGCCCAUUGGAAAUCUGUGUGCCAGACAUUGCUGCUAAAGCUUCCACAGCCUAGAGGCUACGGGAUGGUGUUGGUUGGUCUCUCCUUCCACCCACGUCUUUGGCAUUGAGGGAUGCCAAAGGUGCAGCUAAAGGCUGCAUCAUCGAUAGCUAUUUACAGUCUUGGAACAGCAGACGUACGCCAGAAAUCAGAAUACGUAACGUGGUAUGACUGGAUGAAGAGGUUUGGGCCAAUGACAUUCUGCCUCCGCUCCCCACAGCCAGUGACAAUAUGAAAUGCAAGCCAGUGCCACGUCAGGUAGAGUUGCCAAGAGCAGGAUUUGAUUCACAAUGCACUGCUAUGAAAAGACAAUACUUAAUGUUAUGCAAUCAGAGCAGACCUGCUAAGUCAUCCAGUCCUUCCUCCGUGCUUUCUCCAUAUCCAGCCUUUGAUGGAAUCAGAAUAGUUUAGGUUGGAAGGGACCUUAAAGAUCAUCUAGUUCCAACCCCCCUGCCAUGGGCAGGGACACCUCCCACUGGAUCAGGGGCUCCAAGGCCCAUCCAACCUGGCCUGGAACACCUCCAGGGGUGGAACAGCCACCACUGCCCUGGGCAACCUGGGCCAGGGCCUCCCCACUCUCAUGGUGAAGAAAUUCCUCUUUAUAUCUACUCUAAAUCUGCCCCUCUUCAGUUUAUACCCAUUGCCCCUCGUCCUAUCACUCCAAGCCUUUGUCAACAGCCCCUCCCCAGCUUUUCUGGAGCCCCUUUCAGUACUAGAAAGUACUCCAGUCUCCCUGGAGCCUUCUCCAGGCUGAACAACCCCAACUGUCUCAGUCUGUCCUCAUAUGGGAGCUGCUCCAGCCCUCCGAUCAUCUUCAUAGCCUCCUCUGGACCCGUUCCAAAUAGGAUAGUCCAGAUGGGACGGUUCUCAAAAGGUUCCUGUGCCUUAGGGCUGCCCUGGACUGGGCUCCUGAAGCCCUUGCAGUAACCACGUACUUUGCAACCUCCUCCAAUUCUGCUUCAGUGAAAAUACGGACUCCUCACUGGUGUACUCAAGAGAACGUGGUUAGACACCAGAGGUCAAACUGCUGCUUCCGAGUGAAUUAAAGACAUCACCUUCCCGAACGCAUCAGAACUACAUCCCUGGCUACACUGACUACAUCCCUACACUGACUCUCAGGUGGAGCUUCAACAGUCACUUCUUAAGACCUUGUCCUGUAUUGACUUCCAUAAGAGCUAAACACCUGAGGACUAAGUCAACCAGAAGAACCUGCAGCUGGAGUCAAAAGGAAAAACAACAAUACUAAACCCCACCACCACAAAACAAAACAAAAAAAAAACCCACCUCUGCGUAGGUUUCAUAUCUAAGCUGGGGAAAGGUAGCAUGCCAUGAGAAUUACAAAGGCACAUAUUUCUUAGCUGCAUAAUGCAGUUCUAAUAAACAAUCCCUAUGCCUUGCUGGUGUGUUAAUUGUUAAUCAACCCAACAAUGGCCUGUGAAUUUUCUUUUAAAAGACUUCACAUCACUUACAGCCUAUCCAUCAUGACGGUGCAAUAGAAAUUAUGUCUUCCGGGGAAAAUAAACAGUAAAAAUUUAAAAUUUGACAUUGUAACAGACAAAAACUGCGAAAUAGUUUGCAAAAAGUGCUAAGUCCUUCAUAGGGCUUCACCUGGAAUUCUUCUAGAGCUAAUCCACAUACCAAUAAUAAUACCAAUGAUAACGCAAACACAAAUGGAAACAUAAAU